ACGAAGUUGUAGACGUAAGCAAGUUUUAAUUUGAAGCACGACAGGUCAGCAACACGGUGACAUACAUAUGUUUAUCUUAAAAAAAUAAUAGGGAUAAAUAUCAACAAGAAGUUUGGAUCUGGAUACAAGAAACGCAAUGAAAAGAGCAAGUGAAAAAACCUCCCUUGAAGACAGAAAUGACGAGCAAAAUCCGUCCUUGUUAAGCAAAAGAAUGAGGAUUAGGUCUAGAAUUAAACUAUUGAAUUCCUUUAAUGCCUCUGAGCUGGGUACUGACAUCCGCUUUGAAAGAGCGUGCUUUCUUCCCAAAAACAAACUGCUUAUAUCUGACGAAAAAAAUAAGUCUGUAUACGUAUGUAAAGCAAAUGGGAGUAUUUUGAAAAGGUUUACGUUCGACGAUAAACCAUCUGACGUCUCAGUAGCAAUUGGUAUAAAUCAAGCCUUUGUUAGUGGAUUUUUCGGCAUUGAAGUUAUUGACACAUCAACUUUACAGUUAGUAGAACCUAUUAGAUCUGACUUUGUAAGAUUUAUGCAUUGUGUGAAUGAUGAUAUAUGGAUUCAGAAAGAUAAAAAUACCCUACACAAGGUUGAUGUGAAUGGAAAAACUUUGACGACAAAGAAAAUAACAAUUCCUAUGUGGGACUUUUGUCAUUCUCUUUGUUCGGAUACAUUGUAUUAUACAAGUUUAUAUGACGAAAUGAUAUACAGAGUACAUGGCGACGGAAGUAAAGAAAUGUUUUACAGCAGCCCUGAACUAAAAUAUCCAUAUGGUAUUGCCAUAGACAGCAAAGACAAUGUCUACGUGGCGGGUAAUGAUUCUAAUACGAUCCACAUGAUAUCAAGUGAUGGCCAUGGAGAAGUUAUUUUGACGGUCAAAGAUGGAAUAUAUAGCCCGCAAGGACUUGCCUACAAUCACACUACGAAUGAACUAUUAGUUAUUAAUAACAGUCUUAAAUCGGUCUUCAUUUAUAAAAACUAUUUGACUUAAAAUUGAACAAUCAUGGUUCAUUUGUUGCUCCCCACUGCAACGCAAAACUAGGGGAUAUAGCAGUGACGGUUGCUCGCACGUCCACGUAGAUUCUCAAGUAAAUUUAUUUGUCAGUAUAUUUGAAUAAAACACAACAGUUA